rnacentral:lncRNA from 1 species
CUUACUAGGUUAAUACCAUUUAAUCGCUCUCUUUAAUAGGUGAGAGAGAAAAAACGGUCCUUUAUUUCUUAUCAAAGAGAGGCCUAAGGUUGAAAAGAAUCAUGCCUAUGAAUCUUUUCUUUGAUUUUGUAUUUUCUUAUUACUGUUAGUAGGUGUAUAGGCACUUCUGAACUGUGACAUGUUGAGAAGUUAGAGAUGAAAGAACUAAAACAAAAAGCCCUGACCCAAAGGAAUGCUUAGAUUUGGCUCAAAGUGUUCUUGCCAUUUCUGCUAAAGUGUGCAGAAAUUACUGUACACUGACCUAAUUUUUCUUUAUUACAGACCAUUCCUGUGGGCUUACCGUGAGACUUUCAU